GUCUUCUGUCAUUCUUAGACAAUUAUUGUUGUACUCUGAUGCUUUUGCAAAAAUGCUUCAGUUUCAAGAAGAUUCAUGAAAAGGACUAUUUUGACAAGUUCAAGAUUUCUGAUAACUUUCGGGUCAUACCACUGAACUGGAUUCACACCAGGAGAUUGUUCAUACUGGAAAAGACAUCAGAUAAAGAACUCGCAGCCACAUUGGAAGGGACCGUGUCAGGCCUCUCCUGAAUGAACUGAAACUCCUGUUUUGACACUUGACUUCGACUAAGACCAGCACUGCCAGACCAGCAUGAGAAGAUGACAUCUGCAGUAGACAGCUGACCCAAGCUCCAGCAUGGGGAUGCCCAACGCUGACCUCCCUGCCAGGGGCUCACAGCCAUGGACUGAACACCUCCAGUGGAUGGGGAAGGGCUCUAAUCCUCAGACAAUCCACUGUGUGGUGGGUAGGCUCCCCUAAGAUGAAAUCAAAAGCUCCAUUUAGCUUCUACCCUGAGACCUAGUCUGCACUUGAGAGUGUCCUAGAGCAAGUCUCCCUCCUCUUCCCUGUGGCAACCCUUCCUGUAUCUGAAGACACUAUGUGUUCUAAAUACUCCCGGUUUCCCCAACAAUUUCUCACAGCAUUCUCGCUUCAAAUAUGGCACUUCAAGGACCAAGAGCCAAUGAAUUAGAAAGAAUUUAAGUGAAAUAGUUUCCUCUUGCAAGAAACCUUUCCUGUGUAACACAGGCUCUACCACUGUCUGUCACAAGUUUCCCGCCACCAGUUGCUGAGGUGUGUGACCGAGUUGCCUGGAUGUUUGGCAUCCCCUAGUUGAAGGCCCUUAUUUGCUCCAUCACUAGUUCAUAAACACCGUAAAUUCAGGGGUCAGAUCCUCUCCAUUUCGUAUCCUCCACUGUGUGAAUCAGGCCAGUUGUGUACCCAGAUGAUCCUAAUACAUGUUCUGUGCUGGCAACGUCAAUGACAAAAUUCUAUGCAAGAACCCAAAGAAAUAAACUUACAAUGCCAUCAUAAAAUGCUCCAUAGGACUUUCUUUUGGUUAGUACCAUUUGCAGCAAAUCAGCUAACUACAGAUU